GACGAACGCUGGCGGCGUGCCUAGUACAUGCAAGUAGAACGCACAGUUUAUACCGUAGCUUGCUCCACCAUAGACUGUGAGUUGCGAACGGGUGAGUAACGCGUAGGUAACCUGCCUGGUAGCGGGGGAUAACUAUUGGAAACGAUAGCUAAUACCGCAUAAUAUUGAUUAUUGCAUGAUAAUUGAUUGAAAGAUGCUAUUGCAUCACUACCAGAUGGACCUGCGUUGUAUUAGCUAGUAGGUGAGGUAACGGCUCACCUAGGCGACGAUACAUAGCCGACCUGAGAGGGUGAUCGGCCACACUGGGACUGAGACACGGCCCAGACUCCUACGGGAGGCAGCAGUAGGGAAUCUUCGGCAAUGGACGAAAGUCUGACCGAGCAACGCCGCGUGAGUGAAGAAGGUUUUCGGAUCGUAAAGCUCUGUUGUAAGAGAAGAACGGGUGUGAGAGUGGAAAGUUCACACUGUGACGGUAUCUUACCAGAAAGGGACGGCUAACUACGUG
rnacentral:rRNA from 1 species